rnacentral:rRNA from 1 species
GAUGAACGCUGGCGGCGUGCCUAAUACAUGCAAGUUGAGCGAACAGACGAGGAGCUUGCUCCUUCGACGUUAGCGGCGGACGGGUGAGUAACACGUAGGUAACCUACCUAUAAGACUGGGAUAACUUCGGGAAACCGGAGCUAAUACCGGAUAAUAUUUCGAACCGCAUGGUUCGAUAGUGAAAGAUGGCUUUGCUAUCACUUAUCGAUGGACCUGCGCCGUAUUAGCUAGUUGGUAAGGUAACGGCUUACCAAGGCAACGAUACGUAGACGACCUGAGAGGGUGAUCGGCCACACUGGAACUGAGACACGGUCCAGACUCCUACGGGAGGCAGCAGUAGGGAAUCUUCCGCAAUGGGCGAAAGCCUGACGGAGCAACGCCGCGUGAGUGAUAAGGGUCUUCGGAGCGUAAAACUCUGUUAUGAGGGAAGAACAAACGUGGAAGUAACUGUGCACGUCUUAACGGUACCUAAUCAGAAAGCCACGGCUAACUACGUG